rnacentral:rRNA from 1 species
GAGUUUGAUCUUGGCUCAGAUUGAACGCUGGCGGCAGGCCUAACACAUGCAAGUCGAGCGGAUGACGGGAGCUUGCUCCUUGAUUCAGCGGCGGACGGGUGAGUAAUGCCUAGGAAUCUGCCUGGUAGUGGGGGACAACGUUUCGAAAGGAACGCUAAUACCGCAUACGUCCUACGGGAGAAAGCAGGGGACCUUCGGGCCUUGCGCUAUCAGAUGAGCCUAGGUCGGAUUAGCUAGUUGGUGGGGUAAUGGCUCACCAAGGCGACGAUCCGUAACUGGUCUGAGAGGAUGAUCAGUCACACUAGGAACUGAGACGACGGUCCAGACCUCCGUA